AUACGGAGGAUGCGAGCGUUAUCCGGAUUUAUUGGGUUUAAAGGGAGCGUAGGUGGGAUAUUAAGUCAGCUGUGAAAGUUUGGGGCUCAACCUUAAAAUUGCAGUUGAUACUGGUUUCCUUGAGUACGGUACAGGUGGGCGGAAUUCGUGGUGUAGCGGUGAAAUGCUUAGAUAUCACGAAGAACUCCGAUUGCGAAGGCAGCCUGCUGGACUGUAACUGACGCUGAUGCUCGAAAGUGUGGGUAUCAAACAGGAUUAGAUACCCUGGUAGUCCACACAGUAAACGAUGAAUACUCGCUGUUUGCGAUAUACAGUAAGCGGCCAAGCGAAAGCGUUAAGUAUUCCACCUGGGGAGUACGCCGGCAACGGUGAAACUCAAAUGAAUUGGCGGGG
rnacentral:rRNA from 1 species